GUGAUCCGGGUUGCGGACAGUGUCUGGUGGGUAGUUUGACUGGGGCGGUCUCCUCCUAAAGAGUAACGGAGGAGCACGAAGGUUGGCUAAUCCUGGUCGGACAUCAGGAGGUUAGUGCAAUGGCAUAAGCCAGCUUGACUGCGAGCGUGACGGCGCGAGCAGGUGCGAAAGCAGGUCAUAGUGAUCCGGUGGUUCUGAAUGGAAGGGCCAUCGCUCAACGGAUAAAAGGUACUCCGGGGAUAACAGGCUGAUACCGCCCAAGAGUUCAUAUCGACGGCGGUGUUUGGCACCUCGAUGUCGGCUCAUCACAUCCUGGGGCUGAAGUAGGUCCCAAGGGUAUGGCUGUUCGCCAUUUAAAGUGGUACGCGAGCUGGGUUUAGAACGUCGUGAGACAGUUCGGUCCCUAUCUGCCGUGGGCGCUGGAGAACUGAGGGGGGCUGCUCCUAGUACGAGAGGACCGGAGUGGACGCAUCACUGGUGUUCGGGUUGUCAUGCCAAUGGCACUGCCCGGUAGCUAAAUGCGGAAGAGAUAAGUGCUGAAAGCAUCUAAGCACGAAACUUGCCCCGAGAUGAGU
rnacentral:rRNA from 1 species